CGAGUUAUACAACUCCCAAACCCACUGUGAACCUUACCAAAUCGUUGCUUCGGCGGGACAGCCCCGGGCCCUCGCGGCACGGAACCAGGCGCCCGCCGGAGGCCAAAAAACUCUCCUGUUUUCUCUUAGCGGAAUUUAUCUGAGUGGCCCUUCAUGGGCAAGCAAAUGAAUCA
rnacentral:misc_RNA from 1 species